UACGUAGGGUGCAAGCGUUGUCUGGAAUUAUUGGGCGUAAAGAGCUCGUAGGCGGUUUGUCGCGUCUGCUGUGAAAACUCGGGGCUUAACUCCGGGCUUGCAGUGGGUACGGGCAGACUAGAGUGCGGUAGGGGAGACUGGAAUUCCUGGUGUAGCGGUGAAAUGCGUAGAUAUCGUGAGGAAGACCUGUGGCGAAGGCGGGUUUCUGGACAGUUCCUGACGCUGAGGCACGAAGGCCAGGGGAGCAAACGGG
rnacentral:rRNA from 1 species